ACCCUUUGUGCCCAUGAUGGUUCAGAGUUCUCUGAUAUGACCCUGAGCACUUCACUCACCUUCCUCAAUUCUUCACCUCCUUCCUACUUCUCUUCCAGAAAGUACAGAGAGGGCACUCUCACUAUACCACCCUGCUGAAGCUACCAUCAUCUCUGGCCUGAGCUGCUGUAGGACCUCCCCCGUAUAGUGGCCCUGUCAUUGCUUCUACUCCCUCCAAUUUAUUCUCCACCAAGAGUCACAAGUGGUCCCAAGGCUUCCAGUUUCUGAUUCCAUCAAGAGCGUAGCCAGAGAGAGGAGAGGGGAGCAGAGACUCCUGGGGCCUGCCUACAGGUGAGGUACUCCCAAAGGCCACCAGGGGAUAGUCACUCACCUUAUCCCAGAGAGAGGAUGGAUUCCGGGGCAAUCCGAGACAGAACAGAGUCCACUCCCACUUCUUAAUCCCUGUCUUGCAGCAGCAGGCACCACACCCUCUCUACCGUGGGGCCUGGUGUGUACACACUACCCCGCUGCGGUUGCCUAGGAAACCCGCCCUCCGCCUCCCGCGACCUCUGGGUGGGGAGGGGGAGAAAGGGGCGGGGAAAGCGGUGGCCGACUCGUUUCUGGAUCACGUGGUGGCAAGCUCCAACCAAUCAGCAGAGGUCGGGGUCCACCCGGAAGACCCUGCUGGUGCUCCUGGGAAAGGGUGGGGAGCUUCCCGAGCUGCGGGUCAUUUGAUCCCUGCAGGUAGCUUUUCACUCACCUUCGCCGGAUCAGAGGCCCGGAUGGGAAGCGACGACUUAUGGCGGGGACUUAGUCGUUGCCUCUUCCAGUCCCGGCUCUUUCCUACUGAAAAUCUUUGACCUUCAUUGGAAGCCCGGAGCCUCGCUGGACUUGAACCCCGAAGACACGACGCUGUGAUGUCAAGGCGGCCAGAUGGUCGGAACAGGCCCUGAUGCCCCCCGCGCGCUCUUGGUCCUGCGGCCCGCCACCACCGCCCUCCAGGAGUGUAGCUGACUGCAGCCCGAAGCCGCUGAGCGCAGAGCGAGCCGAAUGGAAGGACAGCGCAGGCCUACGUAACGCCCUGGUGCCCUUCAGAGAAGACAUAGGACCUCCAAGGGUCUUCUUGUCGUUCGUCGACAGACUUUUGAGGGCCGUUUAUGUAUUCCAAAGUGUACAGGAGGCCAAAAAAUUUUACAAGAUAAAAUUUAAAGAGGGAAAGGAAAGAACUUUUAAAAGAGUGGGCAGAGGGGCUGAGAAAUGAAUGAACUUAGGCAAAUCAAAGUAACUGCAGGCCUCGUUUCAUUUUCUAGAUCUGCGCUGUCCCACAUGGCAGCCACUAGCCACAGCCACGUGAAAUGUGGCUAGUCCGAAUUGAGUUGUGCUGUGAAACACACAUGGUAUUUUGAAGACCUAGCAUGAAAAAAAUAUGUAUUGAUUACAUGUUGAAAUGAUAAUGUGUUUUGAUAUAUUGGUUUAAAUAAAAAUGCCUUAUUAAAA